AUAUCAUUAUUCAGGAAAUUAUUUUAUUUUAGAAAUUAUUAUUUUAUUCACUAUUAGAGUGUUAUUUUCAUUAAUUUUUUUUACUAUUUUUGAAAAUAGAGUGAAAUCCAAACGCAAUAUUGAAGGAAAGUAGACAAAUAAGGUUCUUUGAAACAACAUUUUAAAAUUUGAUGCUUAUCUUUGUGUUUUGUCUUUUUCCUUCACAUAUUCUUGCUCACAUCCUAUAGGGAUUGCUGCCAUUGUAGAUGUCUAUUGACAUAAUAAUAAUUACAUAUUUAAAUAUUAUAGAUAUUAAAAUUUAUCAUUUUUUUAAUUUUAAAUUUAGAAUAUUUUAUUUGUUUUGAUAUAUACAUAAGGUUGAUUGGGUAAGUGCACCAAGAUGGUGAAUAGAAAAGUGGCCACAUACCAAAAAAAAAAACCAAAUUUUUCAUAUCUCGUGCGGGUUCUGAAAAUUCAAAAACGUGCUAGACUUGGUAACACCAAGCCUAGCCAAAAACAAUUUAAAAACAAAAGGUUCCUCAACGGUUUUUGAGGAACAUUAUGUUUUUUAAUAAAAAAUCAAAAGUUCCUCAAACGGGUUUUGAGGAACAUUAUUUUUCUUGGUAGCCCACGGGUUUUGGCCAUUUUCAACGUCAAAACUCAUGGAACAACAUCAAAAGGAAGCCAAUAAACCACAGAACCCGCACGAGUUUGUAAUCAUUUUGAAUUUUUCCAGCAUUAAGAGCAAUUUCAACAAUCGCAUCUCAUUGAAUAGGUAAGAUUUGAUUGGUUUGGUUAUUUUUGUUUGCAUUUUAAUUGAAGUAGGGAUUUUUAAUUGAUUUAAGUUUUUUUUGUAUUAAUUUGAUGUUAGGUUCUUCAAGUAAUCUCGAAAAAUGAAAUAAACAACAAAGACCUCCUCUUGCACAAGCAACACAAGCAAACUCUGUAAACAUUGUACAUGAGCAACAAGAAAACCCUCAAGACGUUGCUCCACAACCACAAAAUCCUCAAAAUGUUGCUCCUCAACAACCACCGCCACCCUGAAACCAUCCAUGUCGUCCAUUAGAUCAUGUAGAUGCCAGACAAAAGGAUCUCAUAAAUCACCUUACACAAAAUUGUGCCCAAAUUUCUAUAUUGGUGAAUAGGUUGAGGUCCUCUAGGCUUGAGCACCACGCAACCCUCACCAGAAUGCUAGAAACAAUGGCCAAUGGUGCAAAUGCAGUAUCUAGGGAGGUUACGAAAUGGGGUUCAUGGAGGGAUAGAUGUCGAACAUUUUAUGCGGAUGGGUUGUCAUAUGAUCAAGUGAAAAAAAGGGCAUACUUAAAGUUGACAUAUGUUCUCUUUUCACCGAUCCUAUUACCAGUAACAACCUAGAAUUAAAUAUGACUCGGUUUUCUAUAAAUUGGCGUGUUCAUGCUAGGAUGAAAGAAUCUUUUUGGGAUAGGUGGUAUACGGUCUUUGACCAGCCACCUUGUAAUAAUUGGGAGGUGCCUCUAUAUUUUUUGAGAAAGUUGUAUUGUGACUUUAUCUUCGACGAGAAGCCGAAUUACUUUGACAUCCGACAAUUUCAGGGUAGAGGGAGAGGCUCUGCGCUGAAUAGACCUGGGGCCCAUAGGGUGGUACAACCACAACAUAGGAGGCGUACAACUCCUAAACCCAUGGUUCAUGUCACUGUCCCUAUAUCCUUGAAGGAGUCUAUGGAAUUACAAACUCUUCAGGCAGUUGCAUCAUUGACUGAUGUCAUUGUUCAACAUGACACACAGUUGGUCAGAGAAGAGGAUGUACCAGCACUUGUGACACCUCCUUCAUUAGCGUCACCUCAUGCAUCAUUUGGCACGGGCCAGCCCAUUCAACAUAUGUGCGCCACUUGCCAAGGUGUAUGUUCUAGUGUAGACACUGACACAAAUGAGGAUGGUUCGACAUCUCAUUCGUGUACAUGUUCCGAGAGUAGAUGUCAUGCUUCCACCACAGAGGAUGUGGCCCUCACCGAUGACCUGAUCAAUAUGUUGUUCCCUCGCUAUCAGACAUAGGUGCGUUUAAUUCUGUUUAUGACAUGUUAUCAAUUAAGUGACUAAAUCUUAUAAAAAGAAAUGAAUUUUUAUUUUUAGAACAAUUUAAAGUGACAUAUAAAUAAAAUGCAUUGCAAGGUGCAGCACGUGGUGGGAGUACACCACAUAUUUUCCAGUCGACUCCAGGGUCACGAGUAGUUUUGCCACCAAAGGUAAAUAUUUAUAAAUUUGUUAAAAAUAUAAUAAUACAUUGGUUUCAAAAUACCUUUUGUUAAUUAUAUGUAUCAUUACUUGGUGUUUUAUAGGGCUUAUCAGGGGCUGAGAUGUCCCAACUUGAGGAUAUCAUGCUUUCGGCCAUUGACUUUGGCCAAGAUAGUUAUGCGGUACCAUUUAUAUUUUUUUAUUUUUGACUUAAGUGAUAUAUUAAAUACAUGCUCUUUUCCCUUAUGUUAAUUUUUUUUGGUUAGUUUACCCCAUCUGCCUCGAGCACAUCUCGUGUGAGAAAGCCAUCCUCUAGCACUCUGAGGCAGAAAAAGAUAUCCUCUCGGACACCCAAAUAACAAAAGAAACAUAUGGGGUUUACGGAAUUAAUGAAUGUACGUGAUGUCGAUGAGGUUCAGUAGAGGGAAGAGGUGAUAUCUUCAUAUUCACUUUGGAAAUUGCAUUCUUGCUUGUUCGAAAUAACUAAAUCUUUUUAUGUCUAUAUCAUAUGUUAUCAUUUUUCAUACUAGAAAUGGUAAUAGUUGCAUCAAAUUCAACUAGGCCUCCUAAGGUUACAGGAGAACUAUACGAGGCUUUGGUGUACAUUUGUUCUACAUAUGUUAAAAAUAUUUGUUCUAUCUAGUUUGUCAACAACUUUGGGUUAUCAACUUGUAUAAUUGUCUUUAACCUAUUACAACCCCCUUGCAAACUUCCUACAGAUGUUCUACCAUUCCAUUUCAUUAGAAGUUCUACACAUAUAAUAUGGGAUCCAACAUGACAAAGGGAAAGGCUAUGUCUGUCUUAGAUCAACUCUUUUUCACUAAGUGCACAACGAAGUUGAAACCCUCUUGUUAACUCCUUUUGGAUCACUUACCAUGGAUAUAGGAAAUGAUCGUAACUGAUUCAUCUAUGACUUUGCCUCCUAUGACCAUAGCACAUCCAUCUGAGGCUCUGAUAUGCUUUAGUUUUUUAGUCUAUUCAUUUUUAGUUAUUAUGUGUUAUUUGACAUGUAUGUUAUUAACUUGUAUUAAUGUUGUUUUACUACUUAUAAUCCCCUUCAGGACAUCCCAUAGAUCCUCAACCUCACCCAAUUGCAAAAGACAAAGAUGAGUCACCUGCAGAGCCACGUACUACUUUGAAGAGACUCGAUUUCGAUGAUCCGCACAAUCAUAGAUAUCGAUAGAGACAUAUAGUUGUAUUUGUGGUCAUUGAAGGACCAAUUUUUUUUAUAUAUUCGACAUUUGUAUAUGUAUAUAUCGACUUUGACAGACAUGGCACAUGCCACAUUUUUGUAACUAUUAUUGAUUUGGCAUCUAUGCCAUUUUUUGAUAUGUACACGAUUAUUGGUCAUUUUGAUAUAUAUGAAACUUGAUA